UCAAAUAGGCCAAUUGAUGGAUAGUUUGCGAUGAAAUUUCAUGCUCCCUUGUAAAAGUACUUUUUAGUAUUUUUAAAAUACAAAAAUACAGUAGUUUAUUUUGAUACAUGGCGUGACUGCUGUAUUUUGUAGUUUAUUUUGAUACACUUAAAAUUAAGAUAUUUGGUAUUUUAUUUUAAAAUACAUUUUGAUGUAUUUUUGCCCAACCCUGAACCUAUACUACAUCAUCAUAUGUUCUGUCAUAUAAACAGUAUUUACAAUUAAAUAACAGCACAAUUUACUUGCCUCAACCAACUCAGUAUGCAUUAGUAGGCUAUUAUUAUUAUAAUUAUUGUUUUUGUUGAUCCAUUUCAUCUAUUGACAAACUUUAAUAGGCCUAUGUGAACUAUAUUAUCAGAAAACUGAACACAUUUAGCGUCGUCAGGCUUUUUUUUGUGCUUCUUGCGCACACAAGUUUAUGGGUGCUGUAAAUUUUACCUGCCACAAGAUGGCGCUGUUUUCGACAUUCUUGGUGCUUUGAAACCUUUGGAGAUUUAAGAGGCUUCAUUUCUCCAUCCCUACUCAAUAGUUUUAGGCCUUUUUGCAAAUGUUUCAGUCAUACACACGUUUGACUUUACAACACACAAACGCACACCUUUAUGUAUUCUCAUUCUCGCUUGCUCUCUUAAUAUGUCAUGACUGCAAGCAGAUAGAUUUUAAUAAUCAAUUUAAAAAUUAUGUAAAAAAUAAAAACGGCAUUAAUUAACGCCCUCUCAUGGUACGCACAGCUGCAGGCGCCACUGGUCAAAAGCAUCAUAAGAUCGUGAUUCUGUAACCUACGUAUAAUAUUUUGUAAUUUUUGGAGUUUAAUAAAACAUAAGGAAUUUAAAUAGGUAAAUUGUCAAAACUCAUGCCAGAUAUUUCAAUAGCCUACCAAAAUCACAUUUUUAUAUUCUCGUACCGUACGUUCCUAUACACAGUAUUUGAUUGAUGCAAAACAAGAACUUUUUUUUUAACUCAAAGUAACUUGAAACUCUCACAAGGCCAAGGCUAUCCCUGCUGAAAAAAACAGUAUAUGCUGGUUAAGGUAGGUGUUGUAGCUGCUGGUCCUAUGCUGGUCGAUCCUGGACCAGCAUAAACCAGCUCAAACCAGCAUACCAAAACCUACCUUAACCAUACUAUUUUUUCAGCAGUUUUAUUUUUUACUCUGAGGAAGAAAUUGGUCUUCUAUAGUGUACUAUGCAUUGCUGCUCGAUUUUAAUUGUAACGAUACAAAUCACUGUUGUUAGGAUUACCUUUUUUUCGAUCGCACAACACAGACGCCGUGAACUGAGAACUGACCACCGCGUGCAUAUGGACUACAUUACCCACAAUGACCUAUUGUAAACAGGAAGUGCGUCACGGAAUUUCAAACCUGUAGAGCUCAUACUGAAUGAUCAGUUAUUGGUCAUUCUAUCUCUAGAAUUAAAGUGACUUUAUGUGUCGGUUCUGGUAGCAGAUAUUCAGGAUCUUUGACUCCGAAAUACUGAUUCAACAACAUAAAGCUCUUCGCGUCCGGAACACAGAUAGGAUUUCAUUUUACACCUAAAUCCUCAGAUCUGGGUCCUAAUAAUCAUCCACACAGAACCAGAACCAGAACCAGAACCAGCAGCAAACGCGGUUCUCCAGCGGGUCCAGAGCAGGAUUUGAACGAUGAUCAGCUGAUCUGGGUCUCAGCGCUCGUGCUUUUUUUGAGGCUGUCCCGGUUUCUAUUGGUAACGGGCACGCGCACAGAUUUCACCAUAAACACUCCGGUUCUCCUGCUGGGAAGCAGAUAUGACCUCAAAACAGAAGAAGGGUCUCAGAGGAUCUAUAGAUGACGUGUUAGGAGAUGUGCUGGGCGAUGAUGAUGAUAAAGGUAUUAUUCACUGAUCUAGUCACAGUAUUUUCAUGACAGCAGACGUGUUUUACCUGUUUUAAAGGUCCCGUUCUUCGUGAUCCCAUGUUUUAAACUUUAGUUAGUGUGUAAUGUUGUUGUUAGAGUAUAAAUCAAAUCUGUAAAAUUUUAAAGCUCAAAGUUCA